GAAGCUGCAGCUAGCUCCCAGCCCUGCAGACCCUAGAGUUCUGUCUCUGCUCAGUGCCCCCUUGGGCUCCGGUGGCUUUACUCUCCUGCAUGCAGCAGCUGCAGCUGGAAGAGGCUCAGUGGUUCGUCUGCUGCUGGAAGCAGGUGCCGACCCCAUUGUGCAGUGAGUAAAGGUCCCCAUCCUGAGUCAUUUUGGGUAUAGAGAGGAUAAUUUGGAGGUUAAAGUUGGCAUUGGCUACUUGACAAUAUUCCCUUGGUCUGGUUGGGUGAUGUUGGGAAAGGCAAGAGGCAAGUUAAACCCAUUUUUGGAGUUUUUGCACCUAGGGACUCACGGGCCCGGCCACCUUAUACUGUUGCGGCUGACAAAUCAACACGUAAUGAGUUCCGAAGGUUCAUGGAGAAGAACCCAGAUGCCUACGAUUACAACAAGGCUCAGGUGCCAGGACCAUUGACACCAGAAAUGGAGGCACGGCAGGCUACACGGAAAAGGGAGCAGAAGGCAGCCCGGCGGCAACGGGAGGAACGGCAGC
rnacentral:sRNA from 1 species